rnacentral:tRNA from 1 species
GCCAGCGUAGCUCAGGGGUAGAGCAGCUGUCUUGUAAACAGCCGGUCGUCGGUUCAAAUCCGGCCGCUGGCU